rnacentral:rRNA from 1 species
GUCCACGCCGUAAACGAUGGAUACUAGCUGUUCGGUAGCAAUACUGAGUGGCUAAGCGAAAGUGAUAAGUAUCCCACCUGGGGAGUACGAACGCAAGUUUGAAACUCAAAGGAAUUGACGGGGGGCCCCGCACAAGCGGUGGAGCAUGUGGUUUAAUUCGAUGAUACGCGAGGAACCUUACCAGGGCUUAAAUGUAGAUUGACAGGCUUGGAAACAGGUUUUUCUUCGGACAAUUUACAAGGUGCUGCAUGGUUGUCGU